rnacentral:rRNA from 1 species
GACGAACGCUGGCGGCGUGCUUAACACAUGCAAGUCGAACGGAAAGGCCCUGCUUUUGUGGGGUGCUCGAGUGGCGAACGGGUGAGUAACACGUGAGUAACCUGCCCUUUACUUUGGGAUAACUUCAGGAAACUGGGGCUAAUACCGGAUAGGAGCUCCUGCUGCAUGGUGGGGGUUGGAAAGUUUCGGCGGUUGGGGAUGGACUCGCGGCUUAUCAGCUUGUUGGUGGGGUAGUGGCUUACCAAGGCUUUGACGGGUAGCCGGCCUGAGAGGGUGACCGGCCACUUUGGGACUGAGAGAGGGCCCAGACUCCUACGGGAGGCAGCAGUGGGGAAUAUUGCACAAUGGGCGGAAGCCUGAUGCAGCAACGCCGCGUGCGGGAUGACGGCCUUCGGGUUGUAAACCGCUUUCGCCUGUGACGAAGCGUGAGUGACGGUAAUGGGUAAAGAAGCACCGGCUAACUACGUG